rnacentral:ribozyme from 1 species
AAAGAAAUACGUUACGUGAGCGAACACGUGGCAGAAAUGGCGAAAGCUUGAGGAUGAUACUAGUUCCCUUAUUUCUUUUUUUUUUAUGUUGUACUUUUUUUUUCAGUAAA